ACUUUCAUGUCCGCUGGUGUAAUUCUUGGUCCUCAUUGUGAGCUGCAAGUUUGCUGUUUCUAUCAUCAAGAUAUCUUCAGCCAUCCAGAUAACAUUAUAUGGUUCUCCUUUUGUUGAAAUGACGCUGGAAUAUCUGAAGAAAGGAUUGUGGCAAGAGGCCAGCUACUGGGUUGAUGUUAUAGAUGGAAGACCUGUUGUGGAUACUGAAAGGAAUACAUAUGCCUGAUUCGUCUUGUUAUCCCAGACAAGAAGAAAAUUUAACUUAUACAAGACGUUCAUAUUGGAAGCGGUGAUUGUGGCAGAGUUCAUGAAAGAUAUUAAGUCAUUGGACUUUGGACGUGAAAUUAGCUAAAUGAAUCGAGACUUCUAGACCUCACUUUUAGCAUGCCUCAAGGAUGCACCCUGCAGAUUGACAUUUUUAUGGCUAGUGUUUGUUGCCAUUUCCUAUUUUGCUAUACAAAAAGAAAAAAUAUGAUAUUAUGAGUUGUUUUUCACGUAUCUACUGAUCAUGUAUAAUUCUGGAGUAGUCUCCUUUGACAAAUGUUGAGGGACCUUGCUGUUUAAGUCUCGAGUUAGUUUGUGAUUCAAUUGGUCGUUAGUUGCAAGGUUGGAAGGAACAUCUUCUCAGGUUUCCUAAAUCUCUCUGCAACAAAAUCUCCUCGGAUUUGGCUAAAUUUUGCUCAGGACAUACUUCUGGGAAUGGAAUACAUCGGAAGAGUUGAGAUGCUCUUAUAUUACCCUAGAGCUCUGGUGGAAUGGGGUUUCGGAAUCAUGGAGAUUUUAAUCAAGCUUUGCUUGCUAAACAAGGUUGGUGAUUCCUCAUUAAUCCCUCUUCUUUUUGGGUUUGUCUGCUCAAAGCUCGAUAUUUCCCCACAUCUUUCUUGGAAUCUUGAAUUGGCUCUUAUCCAUCAUGGUUAUGGUCUAGCCUCAUUCACAGUCGGAAGUUGUUACAGACUCAGCUUCUCAGGCCUCGCCCCUCAUUCCUUUGGCCUUUCGGACCUGUCUCUGCGGGUAUCUGACCCUAUUGAUUGGUCUGUUCUGUCUUGAAAUUUGACAAGCGUUUAAUUUGUUUCAUUAACUGCUGCUGAGAUUACUGUAAUCCUUGUUAAUUCAACUAUGGCAGACAAGAUUGUUUGGCCUUUGAACUGGUCCGGACAGUACUCUGUGAGUUCAGGUUACUCAGGUGGCACAUCAUCCUUCUUCCACUUGCUUCACAUACCUAGCAAUCACAUUUGGUCGAAGCUUUUGUCUUUGAAGACACUUCCAAAAUCAAGAAUUUUCUUUGGAGGGUUUUUUCCAACGCUUUUAUCUACCAGAGCUAAUCUAUUUGUGAGGAAGCUUGUUUCGACUCCUUUGUGUUCUAUCUGGUUCAGCUUUCCCUGAACCAAUAGAAUAGGACAUAUUUCUUUUUCGCCGCACUUGGGUGCGUUUAGUAUGGUUUGCUCAUCUGAUUUGGCUAUCUUCCUAACCUUCAGCGGACUAUUGUACUUUGGAUGUCCGGCUUCAACGCUUAAGUUUCCCUUCCUCUACUCCAAGCAAGUUUCGACAUCAGCUUCUUACACAUUAGUUUUGUGUUAUGGCACCUCUGGAAACACAGCUGUCAUUGUCUUCUAUACUAACCCCCUUAGAUGGAGGGUGACAAUUAACAUAUUAGGCAAAGAGAUCGUUUGCUUGUAUAGUUUGUUAAUAUUUGGAUAUGAAUCCUGAAGUUUGUUUUUGGGUUUGUGAAGAGAGUACUAACAAACUAUACGAGGAAAAUUUAUUUGUAUCAAAAUAUUCAAUACCAAUAGUAAGAGAACACUAGUUUUG